rnacentral:rRNA from 1 species
AUUGAACGCUGGCGGCAUGCCUUACACAUGCAAGUCGAACGGCAGCACGGGUGCUUGCACCUGGUGGCGAGUGGCGAACGGGUGAGUAAUACAUCGGAACAUGUCCUGUAGUGGGGGAUAGCCCGGCGAAAGCCGGAUUAAUACCGCAUACGAUCUACGGAUGAAAGCGGGGGACCUUCGGGCCUCGCGCUAUAGGGUUGGCCGAUGGCUGAUUAGCUAGUUGGUGGGGUAAAGGCCUACCAAGGCGACGAUCAGUAGCUGGUCUGAGAGGACGACCAGCCACACUGGGACUGAGACACGGCCCAGACUCCUACGGGAGGCAGCAGUGGGGAAUUUUGGACAAUGGGCGAAAGCCUGAUCCAGCAAUGCCGCGUGUGUGAAUAAGGCCUUCGGGUUGUAAAGCACUUUUGUCCGGAAAGAAAUCCUUGGCCCUAAUACGGUCGGGGGAUGACGGUACCGGAAGAAUAAGCACCGGCUAACUACGUG